UGGGGAAUUUUGGACAAUGGGCGCAAGCCUGAUCCAGCAAUGCCGCGUGCAGGAAGAAGGCCUUCGGGUUGUAAACUGCUUUUGUCAGGGAAGAAAUCCUUUGGGUUAAUACCUCGAAGGGAUGACGGUACCUGAAGAAUAAGCACCGGCUAACUACGUGCCAGCAGCCGCGGUAAUACGUAGGGUGCGAGCGUUAAUCGGAAUUACUGGGCGUAAAGCGUGCGCAGGCGGCUUUGCAAGACAGAGGUGAAAUCCCCGGGCUCAACCUGGGAACUGCCUUUGUGACUGCAAGGCUAGAGUACGGCAGAGGGGGAUGGAAUUCCGCGUGUAGCAGUGAAAUGCGUAGAUAUGCGGAGGAACACCGAUGGCGAAGGCAAUCCCCUGGGCCUGUACUGACGCUCAUGCACGAAAGCGUGGGGAGCAAACAGG
rnacentral:rRNA from 1 species